CGGAAACAAAUUCCUCGGCUUGGUUGAGGUAAUUACCUCUCUGAAAGUCCAUGUCCCUGAAGUCGGAUGAGAACGAAACUGUCCCAAAUCUUUAAAUGCUUGGGCUCCUAGUCUCCGAGCAGUAACAAAUGCCUCGGCUCUCUGAAAGUCCCUAUCCCUGAAGUAGCAUGAGAACGAGACUGUCUCAAAUCUGUAAAUUCUCAGGCUCCUAGUCACCGAGCAGUAACAAAUGCCUCGGCUUGGUUGAGGUAAUUUAACUUACCUCUCCGAAAGUCCUUGUCCCUGAAGUAGAAUGAGAACGAGACUGUCCCAAUUCUGUAAAUUCUCGGGCUUCUAGUCACCGAGCGGAAACAAAUGCCUCGGCUUGGUUGAGGUAAAUUAACUUACCUCUCCGAAAGUCCCUGUCCCUGAAGUAGAAUGAGAACGAGAUUGUCCCAAUUCUGUAAAUUCUCGAGCUUCUAGUCACCGAGCGGAAACAAAUGCCUCGGCUUGGUUGAGGUAAUUUAAAUUACCUCUCUGAAAGUCCCUGUCCCUGAUGGUAUAAUGAGAACGAGACUGUCAGAAAUCUGUGAAGUUUCGGGUUCCUAGUCACCGGGAGAAAAACAAAUGCCUUGUGUUUGUUGAGGCAAUUAAAAUUACUUAUGCCAGAAGAGAUCUUCUAAUUGACGCAAAUCAGGUAGUUCCUUACCUCUUGACUUGCUUACAAGAGUUUUUCAAGUUCAGUAUGCAGAAGUGUGAAUGGUCAAGCUUAUGGACAAAGGUAUGUGGUUGCUUGAUAUUCUAUUUCUUUGGGAAUUCAGGUAUGUAAACUUAUAUUUCUUCUAAGCUUAAUCAUU
rnacentral:lncRNA from 1 species